rnacentral:misc_RNA from 1 species
GAUGAAGAACGCAGCGAAAUGCGAUAAGUAAUAUGAAUUGCAGAAUUCAGUGAAUCAUCGAAUCUUUGAACGCACAUUGCGCCCGCCAGUAUUCUGGCGGGCAUGCCUGUCCGAGCGUCAUUUCAACCCUCGAACCCCUCCGGGGGGUCGGCGUUGGGGAUCGGCCCUUUCACCGGGUGCCGGCCCCUAAAUACAGUGGCGGUCUCGCCGCAGCCUCUCAUGCGCAGUAGUUUGCACACUCGCACCGGGAGCGCGGCGCGUCCUCGUCCGUAAAACACCCCAAACUUCUGAAAUGUUGACCUCGGAUCAGGUAGGAAUACCCGCUGAACUUAAGCAUAUCAAUAAGCGGAGGA